rnacentral:rRNA from 1 species
CAACAGGGAUUGCCCUAGUAACGGCGAGUGAAGCGGCAACAGCUCAAAUUUGAAAUCUGGCUUCGGCCCGAGUUGUAAUUUGCAGAGGAUGUUUCUGGCGCGGUGCCUUCCGAGUUCCCUGGAACGGGACGCCAUAGAGGGUGAGAGCCCCGUAUGGUUGGAUACCAAGCCUGUGUGAAACUCCUUCGACGAGUCGAGUAGUUUGGGAAUGCUGCUCAAAAUGGGAGGUAAAUCUCUUCUAAAGCUAAAUAUUGGCCAGAGACCGAUAGCGCACAAGUAGAGUGAUCGAAAGAUGAAAAGCACCUUGAAAAGGGGGUUAAACAGUACGUGAAAUUGUUGAAAGGGAAGCGCUCAUGACCAGACUUGUGCUGGGCAGCUCAUCCGGGGUUCUCCCCGGUGCAUUCUGCCCAGUUCAGGCCAGCAUCGAUUUUUGCUGGGGGAUAAGAACGGUAGGAACGUGGCCCUCCUUCGGGAGGGUGUUAUAGCCUACCGUACGAUACCCUAGCGGAGAUCGAGGUUCGCGCAUCUGCAAGGAUGCUGGCGUAAUGGUCAUCAGCGACCCGUCUUGAAACACGGACCAAGGAGUCGUCCAUUAGAGCGAGCGUUUGGGUGUAAAACCCGCACGCGUAAUGAAAGUGAAAUUAGGUGAGAGCUUCGGCGCAUCAUCGACCGAUCCUGAUGUUCUCGGAUGGAUUUGAGUAAGAGUUUUAACGGACGGACCCGAAAGACAGUGAACUAUGCUUGUAUAGGGUGAAGCCAGAGGAAACUCUGGUGGAGGCUCGCAGCGGGUUCUGACGUGCAAAUCGAUCGUCAAAUAUGAGCAUGGGGGCGAGAGACUAAUCGAACUGUCUAGUAGCUGGUUACCGCCGA